CCGUAACUUCGGGAGAAGGGGGACCCACACACCGUCAACCGGCUUGCCCGGGGCAGCGGGAGUGGGUGGCACAAACCAGUGAGAAGCGACUGUUUACUAAAAACACAGGUCCGUGCGAAGUCGCAAGACGAUGUAUACGGACUGACGCCUGCCCGGUGCUGGAAGGUUAAGAGGACCCGUUAACCCCCUCGGGGUGAAGCGGAGAAUUUAAGCCCCAGUAAACGGCGGUGGUAACUAUAACCAUCCUAAGGUAGCGAAAUUCCUUGUCGGGUAAGUUCCGACCUGCACGAAUGGCGUAACGACUUCUCAGCUGUCUCAACCAUAGACUCGGCGAAAUUGCACUACGAGUAAAGAUGCUCGUUACGCGCGGCAGGACGAAAAGACCCCGGGACCUUCACUACAACUUGGUAUUGGUGCUCGAUACGGUUUGUGUAGGAUAGGUGGGAGACUAUGAAGCCAUCACGCCAGUGAUGGUGGAGUCGCUGUUGAAAUACCACUCUGACCGUAUUGGGCCUCUAACCUCGAACCGUCUAUCCGGUUCAGGAACAGUGCCUGGUGGGUAGUUUAACUGGGGCGGUUGCCUCCUAAAAUGUAACGGAGGCGCCCAAAGGUUCCCUCAACCUGGACGGCAAUCAGGUGUUGAGUGUAAGUGCACAAGGGAGCUUGACUGCGAGACUGACACGUCAAGCAGGGACGAAAGUCGGGACUAGUGAUCCGGCACCCCCGAGUGGAAGGGGUGUCGCUCAACGGAUAAAAGGUACCCCGGGGAUAACAGGCUGAUCUUCCCCAAGAGUCCAUAUCGACGGGAUGGUUUGGCACCUCGAUGUCGGCUCGUCGCAUCCUGGGGCUGGAGCAGGUCCCAAGGGUUGGGCUGUUCGCCCAUUAAAGCGGCACGCGAGCUGGGUUUAGAACGUCGUGAGACAGUUCGGUCUCUAUCCGCCGCGCGCGUCAGAAGCUUGAGGAAACCUGUCCCUAGUACGAGAGGACCGGGACGGACGAACCUCUGGUCUACCAGUUGUCCCACCAGGGGCACCGCUGGAUCGCCACGUUCGGACAGGAUAACCGCUGAAAGCAUCUAAGCGGGAAACC
rnacentral:rRNA from 1 species